rnacentral:rRNA from 1 species
GGAAGAACAUAUGUGUAAGUAACUGUGCACAUCUUGACGGUACCUAAUCAGAAAGCCACGGCUAACUACGUGCCAGCAGCCGCGGUAAUACGUAGGUGGCAAGCGUUAUCCGGAAUUAUUGGGCGUAAAGCGCGCGUAGGCGGUUUUUUAAGUCUGAUGUGAAAGCCCACGGCUCAACCGUGGAGGGUCAUUGGAAACUGGAAAACUUGAGUGCAGAAGAGGAAAGUGGAAUUCCAUGUGUAGCGGUGAAAUGCGCAGAGAUAUGGAGGAACACCAGUGGCGAAGGCGACUUUCUGGUCUGUAACUGACGCUGAUGUGCGAAAGCGUGGGGAUCAAACAGGAUUAGAUACCCUGGUAGUCCACGCCGUAAACGAUGAGUGCUAAGUGUUAGGGGGUUUCCCGCCCCUUAGUGCUGCAGCUAACGCAUUA